rnacentral:lncRNA from 12 species
GCCAGGUUUCCUGCUCCAGAUUAUCUGGAUUUCUGUAUAACCCCUGGAGCUGGUUACCUGUAGAAGCUUGACUGUCCAGAAGUGUCUCAGCAUAAGUUUGGAAGGAAACUUCUUCAGUGGAGCUCCUUGUUCUGCUCUGACCAUCUCUGAUAGCUGACCAGGGACCUGCAGACAGGUUUGAGAAUUUCAAUGUUGAUUAUGCA